rnacentral:rRNA from 1 species
UGAGGAAUAUUGGUCAACGGACGCAAGUCUGAACCAGCCAUGCCGCGUGAAGGAUGAAGGCGUUCUGCGUUGUAAACUUCUUUUAUCUGGGAAGAAACCUUCUUUUUCUAAGGAAGCCGACGGUACCAGAGGAAUAAGCACCGGCUAAUUCCGUG